GUACUUUGGUCAGCAGCACAUACAUUAAAAUUGGAAUGAGAAAAAUUAGAAAAAUUAGAAUGACCCCUGUGCAAGGAUGGCACACAAAUUUGUGAAGUAUUACCUAUUGAA
ensembl:snRNA U6 U6 spliceosomal RNA